ACCCCCCAGGCCCUGGCUAACCUAGUGUGGCCUUGUAGUUAAUUUUAUUAUUCUGAUAGCAAUUUAUCAUCCCAAGUUGUAACCUAUCUGUCAUCUAUCAUCGUUACCUUUACGAAGGGAUUCCUUGUUGCAUUCAACCGGAGGUUGUAGUUGCAGAGAACCCUGUGACGAAGACUGCUUCAACACUCUUAAUCAACACUUGGAACUCUUACGGUCUUCGGUUGAUCCCCCAGUGCCAAGUGCUACCUUAAAUUUUCUUGGCUUUGGGGUUCGUCCGGGUUCAUUAGAAGAAUCAGAAAUGGUUAAAAGUUAUGGAGGGACUUGAUUGCUGGAGAUAUCAUGUUGCCGU